rnacentral:rRNA from 1 species
AGGAUAAACGCUGGCGGCGUGCCUAAUGCAUGCAAGUCGAACGAGGUGUUCUUUCGGGAGCAUCGAGUGGCGGACGGGUGAGGAACACGUACGAGACCUGCCCACCGGUGGGGAAUAACCCCUCGAAAGGGGGGCUAAUGCCGCAUACGGUCACUGGGGUGAUGCCUGGUGAGGAAAGCUCGCAAGGGCGCUGGUGGAGGGGCGUGCGGCCGAUUAGCUAGUUGGUGGGGUAAGAGCCUACCAAGGCGACGAUCGGUAGCUGGUCUGAGAGGAUGGUCAGCCACACUGGGACUGAGAUACGGCCCAGACUCCUACGGGAGGCAGCAGCAGGGAAUCUUGCGCAAUGGGCGAAAGCCUGACGCAGCAACGCCGCGUGGGUGAUGAAGGCUUUCGGGUCGUAAAGCCCUUUUCUGGGGGACGAAGGUCUGGACGGUACCCCAGGAAGAAGCCACGGCUAACUACGUGCCAGCAGCCGC